UACGUAGGGGGCGAGCGUUGUCCGGAUUCAUUGGGCGUAAAGAGCUCGUAGGCGGCUUGGUAAGUCGGGUGUGAAACCUCCAGGCUCAACCUGGAGACGCCACUCGAUACUGCCAUGGCUAGAGUCCGGUAGGGGCCCACGGAAUUCCUGGUGUAGCGGUGAAAUGCGCAGAUAUCAGGAGGAACACCGGUGGCGAAGGCGGGUCUCUGGGCCGUUACUGACGCUGAGGAGCGAAAGCGUGGGGAGCGAACAGG
rnacentral:rRNA from 1 species